rnacentral:rRNA from 1 species
AUGGAUGUCCAGAAUGUACAAACUAAGGAAAAAGUAGCCGCAGCUUAUACCAAGGGACGAUAUUUCUUGGGUAUGCAGAGCAACCAGCGUAGUGAGAGUCUGAACUCUAGGCUCCACAAUCAUCUCGACCGGAAAAUGUCGUUGGUUGAUGUGGUGGAGCACACUGAGCACUGCAUAUCACGUAUGCGGAGGAAUGGGGCCGAGUUGGAUGCAAUAUAUUCACAGUCAGUUCCUUUCACUAGAAUAGAUGCUUGUUUGUUGGAGAUAAAUGAUGCUCGUAUUUAUACACCAAAAUUUUUCAAGAUGGUAAGAGAUUGUAUCCGAAGAUCAUGUGCAUGGGUGAUUCAAGAGCAAACAACAGUAAAUGACUUGGUCAGGUAUGAAGUAGUGUUAAAAGAUGGAGCGGAAGGAGGGAGCAGACGUCUGUUCUCUGUAGAGUGUUCUUUUGAUGGUUCGUUGAUGAAUGGUGCCUUCUGUCCUUACCGUAAGAUGGAGUGCGAAGCCAUCCCUUGCACGCACAUUUUUUAUGUUCUGGUUUUCGUAGGGGCAGCGACCAUUCCUCCAUGUUAUGUUAGCAAAAGGUGGACAAUGGAAGCCAAGGCUGCAUUCGUGUCAGUGAGAAAUGCAAAUACACAUGUGUGGUCAGAAGAGAUGAGUCGUUACAGUGAACUGAGAAACAUAGCUAGUAUUGCCCUAUUCAAAGUAUCAAAAAGCGGGGAGCGCUCGCAGCAGGUGAAAGAUUAUCUCCAAAGCAUCAUCGAUGGGCCCAUCGAGAAUGAUGAUAACACCGAGGAGACAACAUUUGGUCUUAUACCCUCUCACUACUCUGCCGCAAGCCAAGCUUCAGCGGAGUGA